rnacentral:rRNA from 1 species
UACGUAGGGGGCUAGCGUUGUCCGGAAUCAUUGGGCGUAAAGCGCGUGUAGGCGGCUCGGUAAGUCCGCUCUGAAAGCCCGGGGCUCAACCCCGGGAGGCGGGUGGAUACUGCUGAGCUCGAGUCCGGAAGAGGAGUGUGGAAUUCCUGGUGUAGCGGUGAAAUGCGCAGAUAUCAGGAGGAAUACCGAUGGCGAAGGCAGGUCUCUGGGCUGACACUGACGCUCAUGCACGAAAGCGUGGGGAGCAAACAGG